rnacentral:rRNA from 1 species
GACGAACCGAGCGAACGUUGUUCGGAAUCACUGGGCUUAAAGGGCGCGUAGGCGGGCGGUCAAGUCAGGGGUGAAAGCCCCCAGCUCAACUGGGGAAGUGCCUCUGAUACUGGCCGUCUCGAGGGGGAUAGGGGCGUGCGGAACUUCCGGUGGAGCGGUGAAAUGCGUAGAUAUCGGAAGGAACAUCGGUGGCGAAAGCGACUUCCUGGACCAGUACCGACGUUCAGGCACGAAAGCGUGGGGAGCAAACAGG